AGUGAACGCUGGCGGUAGGCCUAACACAUGCAAGUCGAACGGCAGCACAGAGGAGCUUGCUCCUUGGGUGGCGAGUGGCGGACGGGUGAGGAAUACAUCGGAAUCUACUCUGUCGUGGGGGAUAACGUAGGGAAACUUACGCUAAUACCGCAUACGACCUACGGGUGAAAGCAGGGGAUCUUCGGACCUUGCGCGAUUGAAUGAGCCGAUGUCGGAUUAGCUAGUUGGCGGGGGAAAGGCCCACCAAGGCGACGAUCCGUAGCUGGUCUGGGAGGAUGAUCAGCCAAACUGGAACUGAGACGCGGUCCAGACUCCUACGGGAGGCAGCAGUGGGGAAUAUUGGACAAUGGGCGCAAGCCUGAUCCAGCCAUACCGCGUGGGUGAAGAAGGCCUUCGGGUUGUAAAGCCCUUUUGUUGGGAAAGAAAUCCAUCUGGUUAAUACCCGGGUGGGAUGACGGUACCCAAAGAAUAAGCACCGGCUAACUUCGUGCCAGCAGCCGCCGCGG
rnacentral:rRNA from 1 species